rnacentral:rRNA from 1 species
GAUGAACGCUGGCGGCGUGCCUAAUACAUGCAAGUCGAGCGAACGGACGAGAAGCUUGCUUCUCUGAUGUUAGCGGCGGACGGGUGAGUAACACGUGGAUAACCUACCUAUAAGACUGGGAUAACUUCGGGAAACCGGAGCUAAUACCGGAUAAUAUUUUGCACCGCAUGGUUCAAAAGUGAAAGACGGUCUUGCUGUCACUUAUAGAUGGAUCCGCGCUGCAUUAGCUAGUUGGUAAGGUAACGGCUUAUCAAGGCAACGAUGCAUAGCCGACCUGAGAGGGUGAUAGGCCGCCCUGGAGCUGAGACGCGGACCAGACGCCUGCGGGAGGCAGCAGUAGGGAAUCUUACGCAGUGGGCGAAAGCCUGACGGAGCAACGCCGCGUGAGUGAUGAAGGUCUUCGGAGCGUAAAACUCUGUUAUUAGGGAAGAACAUAUGUGUAAGUAACUGUGCACAUCUUGACGGUACCUAAUCAGAAAGCCACGGCUAACUACGUG